GGAGGGGAUAACUACUGGAAACGGUAGCUAAUACCGCAUAACGUCGCAAGACCAAAGAGGGGGACCUUCGGGCCUCUUGCCAUCAGAUGUGCCCAGAUGGGAUUAGCUAGUAGGUGGGGUAACGGCUCACCUAGGCGACGAUCCCUAGCUGGUCUGAGAGGAUGACCAGCCACACUGGAACUGAGACACGGUCCAG
rnacentral:rRNA from 1 species